rnacentral:tRNA from 3 species
GCCCCCGUGGCGGAACCGGCAGACGCACUCGACUCAAAAUCGAGCGCCGCGAGGCGUGAGGGUUCGAGUCCCUCCGGGGGCA